rnacentral:rRNA from 1 species
UACGUAGGGGGCAAGCGUUGUCCGGAUUUAUUGGGCGUAAAGAGCGUGUAGGCGGCCACACAGGUCUGCUGUGAAAACUCGAGGCUCAACCUCGAGCUGUCGGUGGAAACCGUGUGGCUAGAGUCCGGAAGAGGAGAGUGGAAUUCCCGGUGUAGCGGUGAAAUGCGUAGAUAUGCGGAGGAACACCGAUGGCGAAGGCAAUCCCCUGGGCCUGCACUGACGCUCAUGCACGAAGACGUGGGGAGCAAACAGG